UAUUUUUCUUUUUUUUUUUAAAAAAAUAACUUUUCCAAAACUAAUCUUGAAGAAAGUAAAUCACACACCCAACAUGAGACCUUUCACUCGGAACUGCCCAACUCAACGAGUCCCUCAGGUGAGUCGAAGAACCACCAAGGAGAGUCGUAGAAGCAGGCAGGUACACUACCAAGCACUUCAUACGCUAAAUUUUGAAGUUAAAAUAAGAUCAGGAAGAGAGAAGAAGAUAAAGUUCGUAGAAAAUUUAAUACCGAGAGUAUGAUGGAAGAUUUAGAGAGCAAUUGAAGACCAAAGAGAUAUGGAGUUACCCGCUGCGACCUUAUGGGUUCUGGACCUUCAAGCCACAACUCACAGCUCCAUUUGGAUGCUCAAAUCAGCCAGGCGCCUGGUCGCAGGGACUCCUAUCAUGAUCUCCUCCAGCAAAAGCUAAGACAAUUCCAAAUUAUUUAUUGAAUGUUAAUUGUAAGUUUUUCCUCCAGCAAAUCUAUCACAUUUCCAAAGUAUUAAUUUUCAGCUUAUGCUUAUUUUUCAAUGCUUUCCUCAUCUUUGGUUAGCUUUUCUUCAUCAGAAUGGUUCUUUUCAGUAAUUUCUUCAGAGGUGGUUGCUUUUUGUUGCUAGUUUUAUAUUCCUUCUCACUUGAAGGAAGGUCUAGAAAAAACUGUUUCUAAUGUGCAUUGACAUUAAGGGAUACAAACAGCAUAUGAACAAAAUGUUGAAAGAUUUUGUUGUAAA